GAAGAAGAAGGAAUAUAUAAUAUUAAUAUAUAUAUAUAUAUAAGUAAGAAGAAAUUAAAUCGGUGGGAUCGGAUACCGUUGUCGUGGUGUAUUUUGGUUGUUGUUUGAGGUGGUGGUGAUCCCUAGAAGGAUAUUGAAUGAAGUGCUCUUUGUUCUCAGAAUGACAAAAUGUGAGAAUUCGAUCAAAAUAACAUUGGAUCUUCCAUCGGGAGCGGCCUCGAAACUCGCGGAAUUAGCGAAAGCCGGGGAUGGCGUCCUUAAGGAGCUGGGGAUCCUGUCCCUCCAGGUGGAGGGUGAUCAAGUAAUUUCCGUGAUGCUCGGCGAAGAGAAGGGAGAGGAGGAGGAGAAGAAGAAGAAGAAGAAGGUGGUGUUGGCGGCGCCUGGAGGAGGUGUGUCCGGCUCUGCGUGUUGGAGACGGAGUGUGAGGAGCGAGGCUUGGGCCUCGCCUUCCCUUUCCAUUUCUGUUCCUUGUAGUCCAAAGAGCUCGCCUUGCAAUUACGUCCAGGAUUUCAUGCACCCCGCAUCGGAUCGACCUCCCUCGACCACAGUGGCGAGCUUAAUCAUGCCCCCUCCUCCCUCCUCCAAGGCAGGCAGCAACAGAAGAAGGCAAAUUCUAAUCAACCCCAACACUGGGCACUUGGAGCCUGGUCCGAGUGAGAAUAGUGAGACUGAGAGCAGUUGUAGUGGAGAGACCAACUCCCCCCUCAAAGAUAAUAAUACACAAGCUUCAGAUAGAGCCUUAAAAUUGAAACUCAAAUUGCCUCUGGAUAUCAAUGCAUCAUCCACAUCGUCUUCCUUAGGCAUAAAACGUUCUUCGUCGGAGGUGUAUCACGAUGGAGCUCGUAAAAUCCCUAAGCUCAUAUUGUCUGUCAAAGACAAAACAGUCAAAAUAACAGAAAAAGCUGUUGCUACUUCUGGGAGUAAAAAGACACCCAUUGGAGAGGAACCUGAAAAGGAUCUUAAAAAGUUCAAGUGCAAAUCGCCUGUGAGUGCAGUACCCUCCACAUCUAUCCCUAGUCCUUAUUUACAAACCUCGUCCUCCUCCUCUGAUGAUGCGUCUUUCAGAAAAAUCAAAAAGGCCAAUAAAAAUACUGUGAAAAAUAAUAAUGAUCGUGUUGCAAACUGGACUAAAACAUAUAAUGUAGAUCUAAUAAGUGAGUCUAAUGAUCGUGAUUCUUGGAAAGAAGUCUUAGACUCUCGAGUGAAACCCAUUCCAUUGGACUCAGAUUUAGAUAUGGACUACUCCACGAAUUCUCAUCAUCGCUUGACUGAUUCACAAAAAUCAGUAAUUAAUGGAUACGAUAAAUCUGUGGACAUUAUAAAACAAGGGAAUGAGAAUGAUUCUUCAUUCUCCAAUCCGAAUAAUAAACCAAAUCAUUCAGGUGGUGGUGGAGAAAUUGAUUCGCCAUCUCUACCUCGAGGAGAGGAUCAUCACGGGCACCUAGGAGAGGAUUCAGGGAUUGAGUCAAUGGAUGCAUUAUCUGAAAAAAGUCCCAACCAAGGUGAUGGUGAUGAUCGAGACUUAAAAGAUGGAUCCAUAUCUCUCCCUCCACCUCCUCCGCCACCAUUAUUACCACCUGAUUCAACCUCUCCCGUCAUUUCGGAAAUACUUGAUAACUCAUCCUCCAGUACUAAUAGGAGGAGUAGUAAUAAUUCUUCAAUCGAAGCAUUAAAAGAGAAGGGAUGUGUUAUUGAGAAACUGAAAAGCGCUGAACAAUCCAGUAAUAAUGCUGACAUUUCUAGUAGAUUGCUUCAUAAUAUAGGCGAAAAUAUGGAGUCUAAACUUGUUGCUACGUCCAUUAAAACUGGAAUGCCUCCAUCCGUUCCAAUCGGGGCCAAAAUGGUUCCGGUCAAGCUUGUGACAGUUUCUGGAGAAGGUAACCUUCGGCUUGUUAGAGUAUCUCCUGUUAAAAACUCUUCAGAAAACAUAUCUGCUUCACAUGGUACUCGAACUGUUGUCAUCAAAUCAUCCAUGUUGAAGGCAGCAGCCGGAAAUCCUUCUUUCUUUAAUCCUAGUCUCAUUAGUAAGAUCUCUUCUACAUCCCUUUCUCAUCCCCAGCCCAUUACAACUAUUGAAUCCAAAGUGCCUCCAAAUUCUUCAACCGUCUGCCUUUUUCCUCUCAAAACCAAAGAUUCAGGGACAUUAUUUGAAGAUAAAGAUAACCUGGACAAUGGUUUUAAUUUAUAUAAGCCAAAAAUUGGCAAAAAUCCGGAUGAUGCAAUACAAACUAUUAAAGAUAGUCGGGAAGAUGCUCAGGAAGAUAGUAAAUCUAGUAAAGAGGAAUCCUUGACAAAGACCAAUAAUCCAUUAAAGUCCGGUUCACUAGCUAGUUCUGUUGAAGUAAAUGCAUCCCAUGUUCGAAAUGAAAUCCCUAAUGAAAAAAAUAGUUCAUCAUCAGAAACUGUGUUAAAAGAUGUUUAGAGGUGCUAACUGUACUCAUAUUUCUUCAUAAGACAAAAAACAUGGAAUUCAAAUCGUAGCUUAAUAUUUAAUUUUGCUUUCAUUCUGCUCUCCGAAGAAAAGUUAAAAAGACAUUAUUAAUAGAUCUUUGAUAUUGAGCAGAUUAUUGUCUUGACUGCUGACAUAAUAUUAUGAACUUUGUCAUUUCCUACAUACAUACAUAUGCAUAUUUUAAAUGGUGUCUAUUAUUGCACACAACAAGUGGAAACGCAUCAUUGUAAUGUUUAAGGUGUAUACCAACCGAUCAACCAACAUUGGAAUAUGAAAGCUUCGUCUAUUUUAUUUUUUUUGUUUCUUUUAUUAUAUUAAUUAUUUGUUGUAGUGUGGUAUUGGAGUGUGUAAUAAAUCCAUCUUCUAUUGUUUUGGAAAUGCCCCUACUAAGCUUAACACAUUACAAAUUUAGAAUAAUAAUUUCAAACAUAUUUGUUUUAAUCGCUAAAGUUUAUUUAUAACGACAAAUUUUAUGAAACCCAUAUUGUUUAGUACGAUCGCAUAUUUUAUUAACAUUGUGUUAAUUGAUAAAAAUCAUUUCAUAUCAGAAAUAAUAAAAUAUAUUUAUAGAAUACA
rnacentral:misc_RNA from 1 species